GAUGAACGCUGGCGGCGUGCCUAAUACAUGCAAGUCGAGCGAACGGACGAGAAGCUUGCUUUUCUGAUGUUAGCGGCGGACGGGUGAGUAACACGUGGAUAACCUACCUAUAAGACUGGGAUAACUUCGGGAAACCGGAGCUAAUACCGGAUAAUAUUUUGAACCGCAUGGUUCAAAAGUGAAAGACGGUCUUGCUGUCACUUAUAGAUGGAUCCGCGCUGCAUUAGCUAGUUGGUAAGGUAACGGCUUACCAAGGCAACGAUGCAUAGCCGACCUGAGAGGGUGAUCGGCCACACUGGAACUGAGACACGGUCCAGACUCCUACGGGAGGCAGCAGUAGGGAAUCUUCCGCAAUGGGCGAAAGCCUGACGGAGCAACGCCGCGUGAGUGAUGAAUGUCUUCGGAUCGUAAAACUCUGUUAUUAGGGAAGAACAUAUGUGUAAGUAACUGUGCACAUCUUGACGGUACCUAAUCAGAAAGCCACGGCUAACUACGUG
rnacentral:rRNA from 1 species